rnacentral:rRNA from 1 species
UACGUAGGGUGCGAGCGUUAAUCGGAAUUACUGGGCGUAAAGCGUGCGCAGGCGGGGAUGUAAGACAGGUGUGAAAUCCCCGGGCUCAACCCGGGAACUGCGUCCGAUACUGGCAGGCUUGAAUCCGGGAGAGGGAUGCGGAAUUCCAGGUGUAGCGGUGAAAUGCGUAGAUAUCUGGAGGAACACCGGUGGCGAAGGCGGCAUCCUGGACCGGCAUUGACGCUGAGGCGCGAAAGCCAGGGGAGCAAACGGG